GGUCUUAUAUUCAUUUAUAAAUGAUAUUAGAAUGCAAUUCUGAAGGCGUAAGGAAUACAAUUAUUAAGACUU
rnacentral:tRNA from 1 species